GUUUUGGUAGUUUAAUUAAGAAUAUAGUUUUGAAGCAGCUAAGGUCGAUUAUAAUGUUCGCUGAAACA
rnacentral:tRNA from 1 species